AGCGUGCAUGCAAGUUUGUCGGUCAAACCCAUCAAAACAUUCAGAGCGAAAAAAGAAAAAAAAAUCACUGCAACAGAAAUCAAACGCAAAUCCAUGUACUGAUGCUAGUUUUAAAUGAAAUUCGGCCGCGGUGGAACAACAGCGCUAUCAUGAUUUUGUAUGUGAAGAUGGUCAUCGGCUUGGUGGCAGCUGCAAAAACAGCCGAACUCGCCGCUGCUGGUUACUCUUGGCAAUGAAUGAACCAGCUGCAAGGAGAACCCAUUGUUCCGGAUCACCUACACGUGGACAUCGAACCAAAAAGUCUGAUUCACCAGCAUCAAGCGUAGGCCAUCCUGAACAACAGCCUGGAUCCAAGAAGCAAGCGCUGAAAGAAAGCCAUCUCUGUGAGGUUUAUUUAGCUACGUAAUUGCUGCAUUCAUGGACUUUAAUCAGACUAUGAAAUGUAAGUGACUGGAUCACCGAUGAUUAAUCGCACCACCUCAACGGAGCACGAGCUUCGAAAGCAUUGUUCAAGGCAAAAUUGUGCCAUAAUUCUAUUUUUUUAUUUUAAAUAUCGAAUAAGGCAACCUUAAGCUUUAAUAAACAUUCAAAAUAUUUUGUCCUCAAUGAAAAUUAUUUCUUAAAUUGAAUAAGUCACAAUGAAACAAGAAAUAAGUG
rnacentral:lncRNA from 1 species